rnacentral:rRNA from 1 species
AGGACGAACGCUGGCGGCGUGCUUAACACAUGCAAGUGGAGCGACGAACCGGGGCUUGCCCCGGGGCAGAGCCGCGAACGGGUGAGUAACACGUGGGUCACCUGCCUCAAUGACCGGGACAACCCGAGGAAACUCGGGCUAAUACCGGAUGUGCCCGCAAGGGGAAAGGAAGCUUCGGCCUCCGCAUUGAGAUGGGCCCGCGGCCCAUUAGCUUGUUGGUGAGGUAACGGCUCACCAAGGCUUCGAUGGGUAGCUGGUCUGAGAGGACGAUCAGCCACACUGGGACUGAGACACGGCCCAGACUCCUACGGGAGGCAGCAGUGGGGAAUCUUGCGCAAUGCGCGAAAGCGUGACGCAGCAACGCCGCGUGGGGGAAGAAGGCUUUCGGGUUGUAAACCCCUUUCAGUUGGGACGAAGCUUCUCCGGUGAAUAGCCGGAUGGAGUGACGGUACCUUCACAAGAAGCACCGGCUAACUACGCGCCAGCAGCCGCGGU